rnacentral:rRNA from 1 species
UACGAAGGGGGCUAGCGUUGCUCGGAAUCACUGGGCGUAAAGCGCACGUAGGCGGACUCUUAAGUCGGUGGUGAAAUCCUGGAGCUCAACUCCAGAACUGCCUCCGAUACUGGGAGCCUUCGAGUCCGGGAGAGGUGAGUGGAACUGCGAGUGUAGAGGUGAAAUUCGUAGAUAUUCGCAAGAACACCGGUGGCGAAGGCGGCCCACUGGCUCGAUACUGACGCUGAGACGGCGAAAGCGUGGGGAGCAAACAGGG